rnacentral:rRNA from 1 species
AGUGAACGCUGGCGGCGUGCUUAACACAUGCAAGUCGAACGAGAACGGAAUAUAGCUUGCUAUAUUUGUCAGCUAAGUGGCGCACGGGGGAGUAAUGUAUAGAUAACCUGCCCUUAAGAAAGGAAUAACAGUUGGAAACGACUGCUAAUGCCCUAUAUGCCUUUAAUACAUAAGUAUGCAAGGGAACGCUUUAGUGCUUAAGGAUGGGUCUGUAUGGUAUCAGCUUGUUGGUGAGGUAAUGGCUCACCAAGGCUAUGACGCCUAACUGGUUUGAGAGGAUGAUCAGGAAGACUUGAACUGAGACACGGUGCAGACUCCGACGGGAGGUAGCAGUGGGGAAUAUUGCACAGUGGACGAAAGUCUGAUGCAGCAACGCCGCAUGGAGGAUGCCACAUUGCGGUGCGUAAACUCCUUUUAUAUAGGAAGAUAAUGACGGUACUAUAUGAAUAAGCGCCGGCUAACUCCGUGCCAGCCGCCGCCGUAA